AAAAAGGUAAAAAAAAGAAUUAACAGUAUAAUUAGGAGUAGCAAAAGCCCCAGGCAAAACGAAGCAAAGCACUCCAAAUUCCAAAAGCAGUAGCCAAAGCUCGUACCUUUCCUUCUCCUUUCAUCAGAAUUAGGGUUUCUGCGGACGAUUCAGGCAUAUUCAAGUUCUUAAUCUAUAUGUCAUUAAGCUCCUGAUAGAGGGAAGAGAAAAUGGCGGUGGAAGAUUUGUGCCCUCCGUCUUCUGAAAUUUGCACAGUACCGAAUUCUGAGAGUCCUGAACCAGAUGUGGAGCUGGGUUGUUCACGGAAAAAGAAGAAAAAUAAGAAGAAAAGGUGUAAACUUGAAAGCAAUGAUAAGAGUUGUGAAAGUCCCUCCCUACAGUCUCAAUUUGUACAACUCUCAGAUCAAGAAGCACCACAACCACUUACAGAGAAAAGUAAUACAAUAACAGAUUCAGAAAAUCCCCAAUCAAAUGUGGAGCCGAGUCUUUCAACAAAAAAGAAGAAGAAGAAGAAAGGGUCUAGAACCACUGAGACCAAUGAUACAAGUUGUGAAAGUCCCUCCCAACAGCCUCAACUUGUACAGCUUUCAGAUCAACAAGCACCGCAACCACUUGCUGAGAAAAUUUCUACAAUAACAGAUUCAGAGAGUCGCCAGUCAAAUGUGGAGCUGAGUCUUUCACAAAAUAAGAAGAAGAAGAAGAAUAAGAGGAAGAACAAGAAAGGGUGUAAAACCCCUGAGACAAAUGAUAAAAGUUGUGAAAGUCCCUCUAUACAGCCUCAACUUGUACAAGCAACAGAUCAAGAGGUAGAAGUGCCACAACGCAUUGAGGCCGUACAGCCUCAACUUGCACAAGUGACGGAUCAAAAGCUAGAAGUGCCACAAACCAUUGAGGAUUCGAGUUUCUCAGUGAAAACCAAGAAAAGGAAUGGGAAGAAAAGCCGUAAACCCCAUGACUGUAAUGAUGAAGUGUGCGGCGUUUCUGUUGGUACUUCUGUUAUGGAAAGUAAUAUGCCAGCAGUAGAUCCAUAUAUAAAGCCUUCUGUUGAAAUAUCAUUGGAGCAGCUUGUUGCGGAGCCACUUGUGGAGGGAAUGAGUACAACAGCAAACUCAAAAAGUCCCAAACCCAAUGCAGAUUUUGGCUGCUCACAAGAAAUGAAGAAAAAGAAGCGGAAGAGAAGCCACAAAACCAGUGAGUAUAAAGAGCUAUUAGUGGAAACAAUGAUGCCAGAAGCAGAUCCAUCUUUUCAGCCUUCUAUUGCAAUGUUCUCUGAACAAGAACUAGAGGUGUCACAACCACUUAAUGUUGAUGCAGAAUCACUUGUGGAGGGAAUGAGCACAACAAUAAACUCAGAAAGGCCCAGGCCGAAUGCAGAUUUUAACUGCUCACAAGAAACAAAGAAGAAAAAGCGAAAGAGAGGGAACAAAACCAGUGAUAGUAAAGAGGUAUUAGUGGAACCAAUGUUGCCAGAAGCAGAGUCAUCUCUUCGGCCUUCUCUUACAAUGUUAUCUGAGCAAGAACUAGAUGUGCCACAACCACUUAAUGCUGAUGCAGAACCACUUGUGGAGGGAAUGAGCACAACAAUAAACUCGGAAAGUACCAGGGGCAAUGCAGAUUUUACCUGUUCACAAGAAACAAAAAAGAAAAAGCGAAAGAGAGGGAGCAAAACCAGUGACAGUAAAGAGCUAUUAGUGGAAGUAGUGACACCGGAAGCAGAUCCAUCUCUCCAGCCUCUGCUUGCAAUAUUUUCUGAACAUGAGCUAGAGGUGCCACCACCGCUUACUACUGAUGCAGAACCACUUGUGGAGGGAAUGAGCACAACAAUAAACUCGGAAAGUACCAGGGGCAAUGCAGAUUUUACCUGCUCACAAGAAACAAAAAAGAAAAAGCGAAAGAGAGGGAGCAAAACCAGUGACAGUAAAGAGCUAUUAGUGGAAGUAGUGACACCGGAAGCAGAUCCAUCUCUCCAGCCUCUGCUUGCAAUAUUUUCUGAACAUGAGCUAGAGGUGCCACCACCGCUUACUACUGAUGCAGAACCACUUGUGGAGGGAAUGAGCAUGACAAUGAACUCAGAAAGUCUCAAGCCCAAUGCAGAUAUUAGCUGCUUAGAAGAAACAAAGAAGAAAAAUUCAAAGAGAAAGUGCAAAACCAGUGUAAGUAAAAAGCUAUCUGUGGAAAUAAUGAUGCCGGAACCAGAUCCAUCUCUCCAGCCUACUCUUUCUGAAAAAGAGCUAGAGGUGCCACAACCACUUAAUACUGAUGCAGAACCACUUGUGGAGGGAAUGAGCACGACGAUGAACUCAGAAAGUCCCAAGCCCAAUGCAGAUUUUAGCUGCCCACAAGAAACAAAGAAGAAAAAUCGAAGGAGAAAGCACAAAACCAGUGAAAGUAAAGAGCUUUUAGUUGAAAUAAUGGCACCGGAAGAAGAUCCAUCUCUUCAGCCUACUCUUUCUGAAAAAGAACUGCAGGUGCCACCACCCCUUAAUACUGAUGCAGAACCACUUGUGGAGGGAAUGAGCACAACAAUAAACUUGGAAAGUACCAGGGGCAAUGCAGAUUUUACCUGCUCACAAGAAACAAAAAAGAAAAAGCAAAAGAGAGGGAGCAAAACCAGUGAACAUAAAGAGCUCUUAGUGGAAAUAAUGACGCCAGAAACAGAUCCAUCUCUUCAGCCUUCGCUUGCAAUAAUCUCUGAACAAGAGGUAGAGGUGCCACAGCCACUUAAUACUGAUGCACAACCACUUGUGGAGGGAGUAAGCACAACAAACUCGGAGAGUCCCAAGCCCAAUGCAGAAUUUAGUUGCUCACAAGAAACGAAGAAAAAGAAUCCAAAGAGAAAUCGCAAAACCAAUGAGAAUAAAGAGCUAUUGGUGGAAACAAUGACGCCAGAAGCAGAUCUAUCUCUUCAGCCUCCGCUUGCAAUAUUCUCUGAACAAGAGGUAGAGGUGGCACAACCACUUUAUACUGGUACAGUGUGGAAAGAAACCAAGAUUGAUGAAGUUCCUUCCUUGUCACAUUUGACUCCAAAAGCUGAUACUGAAGUAGUUGCUAUCGGUAGAGAGGGCAAUCUUUCUCAGAAAAAGCUUCUGAUUCUUGAUAUUAAUGGGCUGCUUGCUGAUAUUGUCCAGAUGGAAGUUUCUAUCCCCAGUAGUUUUAAACCAGACACAAUAAUAUCACGGAAAGCAGUUUUUAAGAGGCCAUUUUGCGAUGAUUUUCUACAGUUCUGCUUUGACAGAUUUAAUGUGGGUGUGUGGUCUUCAAGAACCAAGGAAAAUGUGAACUCGGUGAUAGAUUUUCUUUUGGGGGAUUCCAAACAUAAAUUACUCUUUUGCUGGAACCAAUCGCACUGCACUUCUACCAGUUUCAAGACGGUGGAGAACAAGAAUAAGCCCCUCGUUUUGAAAGAGCUUAGAAAAUUAUGGGAGAAGCUUGAGCCUGAUCUUCCUUGGGCGAGAGGAGAGUACAACGAAUCCAACACAGUAUUAUUGGAUGAUUCUCCAUACAAGGCUUUGCGCAAUCCGGUGAACACCGCCAUAUUCCCCAAUUCAUAUCAGUUCAGGAACAGAAAAGAUUCUUCAUUAGGACCUGGAGGCGAUAUCCGUUCUUACCUGGAAGGGUUAGCUAUGGCUGAGAGUGCCCAAAAAUAUGUGGAACAGAAUCCAUUUGGUCAGAGACCCAUAACGAAAUCAAAUCCUUCUUGGAACUUCUAUAGGAGAGUUAUAGAGGAUGUAAAACCCCUGAGAUGACUCGGCCUUUUUCAUGCCUUGGACCCAUCGAUGUUUUACAGUUCCAUACCAGACAUGCAGGGUUGUGAAAUAGGUGCCACCAUCUUUAACUUGAUGCAGAUAGUUGGGGUUGUUGACAGUCGAUAGAAAUUUGUUACUCAACCACCAUGUUCUGCAAAUCUUAUACUUUGAGUUUGAGGAAAAUCUUCUGGGGUUGCUUUGUUAUAUUUCCAGCAGGGAUACAACACCAACCAAAUUUGAUUCCAUGUGCCUGCCUUGAUUCAGCUAUCAGUUACCGUUGUGCUUAGCUUGUUUGAAAUGUACAUCUCUUGCACCAACCAAACUUAAACCCACUGAUAUAACCAGCAAUUGGUCCAUGUCUAUUUAUGUGCCUGGUUCAAAGUAACAGCUACUGAAGCCCAUUAGUUAAUUAGGCAUAUCUAGGAUCUUUUGUGUUGUCUGUUUGCAAGUUUUUGAAGGCUAUCGAUGGUUGGUACUGGCUGAUUUUUAUUUACCACGAUGAUCAACUUGGCAUGUGCUGCUACAUCUGGCAAAUCAAUUGCUUGACUUGGUUCACCCAAUUCUGUGAUCUCUUGCAUUUCAGAACUUCUUGAUACUUUUCAUAUUGUUUAACAUUGCAUACAAGACCAGCUUUUCUUAACUCUUAGAUUGAUGACUUCCUUCUAUUCAUAACAUAAAAUCGUUUUUCUUUGUGAGAUAACGCAUACUGUUAGCCAAUUAUCCCCGUGUCCCUCCCUGCCUCCGGAUCAUAAUCCCUCC